rnacentral:misc_RNA from 1 species
GAUGAAGAACGCAGCGAAAUGCGAUAAGUAAUGUGAAUUGCAGAAUUCAGUGAAUCAUCGAAUCUUUGAACGCACAUUGCGCCCCUUGGUACUCCAUGGGGCAUGCCUGUUCGAGCGUCAUUUACACCCUCAAGCUCUGCUUGGUGUUGGGCGUCUGUCCCGCUUCGUGCGCGGACUCGCCUCAAAUGCAUUGGCAGCGGUCUUGCCAGCUUCUCGCGCAGCACAUUGCGCUUCUAGAGGCUUUGGCGGAUCGGCGUCCAUCAAGUACACCCACAGUUUGACCUCGGAUCAGGUAGGGAUACCCGCUGAACUUAAGCAUAUCAAUAAGCGGAGGA